AGAGUUUGAUCCUGGCUCAGAUUGAACGCUGGCGGCAUGCCUUACACAUGCAAGUCGAACGGCAGCACGGGUGCUUGCACCUGGUGGCGAGUGGCGAACGGGUGAGUAAUAUAUCGGAACGUACCUUGUAGUGGGGGAUAGCUCGGCGAAAGCCGCGAUUAAUACCGCAUACGCUCUGAGGAGGAAAGCGGGGGACCUUCGGGCCUCGCGCUACAAGAGCGGCCGAUAUCAGAUUAGCUAGUUGGUGGGGUAAAGGCUCACCAAGGCAUCGAUCAGUAGCUGGUCUGAGAGGACGACCAGCCACACUGGAACUGAGACACGGUCCAGACUCCUACGGGAGGCAGCAGUGGGGAAUUUUGGACAAUGGGCGCAAGCCUGAUCCAGCAAUGCCGCGUGAGUGAAGAAGGCCUUCGGGUUGUAAAGCUCUUUUGUCAGGGAAGAAACGGUGAGGGCUAAUAUCCCUUGCUAAUGACGGUACCUGAAGAAUAAGCACCGGCUAACUACGUGCCAGCAGCCGCGGUAAUACGUAGGGUGCAAGCGUUAAUCGGAAUUACUGGGCGUAAAGCGUGCGCAGGCGGUUUUGUAAGUCUGAUGUGAAAUCCCCGGGCUCAACCUGGGAAUUGCAUUGGAGACUGCAAGGCUAGAAUCUGGCAGAGGGGGGUAGAAUUCCACGUGUAGCAGUGAAAUGCGUAGAUAUGUGGAGGAACACCGAUGGCGAAGCAGCCCCCUGGGUCAAGAUUGACGCUCAUGCACGAAAGCGUGGGGAGCAAACAGGAUUAGAUACCCUGGUAGUCCACGCCCUAAACGAUGUCUACUAGUUGUCGGGUCUUAAUUGACUUGGUAACGCAGCUAACGCGUGAAGUAGACCGCCUGGGGAGUACGGUCGCAAGAUUAAAACUCAAAGGAAUUGACGGGGACCCGCACAAGCGGUGGAUGAUGUGGAUUAAUUCGAUGCAACGCGAAAAACCUUACCUACCCUUGACAUGGAUGGAAUCCCGAAGAGAUUUGGGAGUGCCCGAAAGGGAACCAUUACACAGGUGCUGCAUGGCUGUCGUCAGCUCGUGUCGUGAGAUGUUGGGUUAAGUCCCGCAACGAGCGCAACCCUUGUCAUUAGUUGCUACGAAAGGGCACUCUAAUGAGACUGCCGGUGACAAACCGGAGGAAGGUGGGGAUGACGUCAAGUCCUCAUGGCCCUUAUGGGUAGGGCUUCACACGUCAUACAAUGGUACAUACAGAGCGCCGCCAACCCGCGAGGGGGAGCUAAUCGCAGAAAGUGUAUCGUAGUCCGGAUUGUAGUCUGCAACUCGACUGCAUGAAGUUGGAAUCGCUAGUAAUCGCGGAUCAGCAUGUCGCGGUGAAUACGUUCCCGGGUCUUGUACACACCGCCCGUCACACCAUGGGAGCGGGUUUUACCAGAAGUAGGUAGCUUAACCGCAAGGAGGGCGCUUACCACGGUAGGAUUCGUGACUGGGGUGAAGUCGUAACAAGGUAGC
rnacentral:rRNA from 1 species